rnacentral:rRNA from 1 species
GAUGAACGCUGGCGGCGUGCCUAAUACAUGCAAGUCGAGCGAACAGACGAGGAGCUUGCUCCUCUGACGUUAGCGGCGGACGGGUGAGUAACACGUGGAUAACCUACCUAUAAGACUGGGAUAACUUCGGGAAACCGGAGCUAAUACCGGAUAACAUGUUGAACCGCAUGGUUCAACAGUGAAAGACGGUCUUGCUGUCACUUAUAGAUGGAUCCGCGCCGCCUUAGCUAGUUGGUAAGGUAACGGCUUACCAAGGCAACGAUGCGUAGCCGACCUGAGAGGGUGAUCGGCCACACUGGAACUGAGACACGGUCCAGACUCCUACGGGAGGCAGCAGUAGGAAAUCUUCCGCAAUGGGCGAAAGCCUGACGGAGCAACGCCGCGUGAGUGAAGAAGGUCUUCGGAUCGUAAAACUCUGUUAUUAGGGAAGAACAAAUGUGUAAGUAACUAUGCACGUCUUGACGGUACCUAAUCAGAAAGCCACGGCUAACUACGUG